UCUCGAAUCGAUUAAUACCUCCAUUUUUUCGAUAGAUGGAACUUACAAGAUUCUCAGGGAUAUACUUAAAAAAAAAUCAAGAAUGAAAAAUUGCACUAGUAUAUCAAUUUUAAUAAGAAAAUUUCUAUGUGUUGAUUAAAUUAGUGAAUAAUUUUGUAAUUCCAGUAUUUUGUGUUGGAUGAUGCAUCAUUUCCUAACCUAUCUUUCUUUAAGCUGUUAGAAUUUCUUAGUUUGACGUUUAGAGUGAUCAGUGAUAACAAUGGCAAGAUUUCUUACGUGGAAAUGUCUUCUUUUAUUAGUUAUAAUACAAAUUGUCAAUGCCAAAAGAAUCAAGGAUAUGAUUUAUAUGUCAAUUGAUGGUGCUGCUGGUUGUUUUAGAAGACACAAUGGAACACAUCAAUUUGGUUGUUCAUCAAGUAGAUCUGGUAGUGUAGGAGUAAUACAUUUAAUAGAACAAGAAGAUGAUGUCAGAUGGUUGGAAACUAAAGCAACUGCAGGCCCAUAUACUGCAGUCCUACCAUUUUCAAUGUUUACCAGAGAUGUUCUUUUACGUUUGAAAAAUACUAACAAUAUCAAUGGCGUUCUAUUGGCAAGAAAUACUAGUCAAGAAUAUCCAGAUUUUUAUUCACCAGAAGAUACCUGUCCAAACAGAUACUCAAAUUAUAAAAAGUGUAACGAUCAACGUCCAUGGAAUCCUCAUGGAUCAUCAAUUUUAUUAGAAGACUGGCCAUUUCCCAUGUUUUAUAUGGAGAAUCAAACACUUUUGGAAGCCAUAAAGUCUUGUUUUUGGAAUCACAAUGCUCACGAUCUUGAAAAUCAAAGUGAACGUUCAUUGUGCGCAUUGGAAAUGAAAUCAUUCAUGUUUUCUGCUAUUAAUUCUGAUUCUUGUAUAAAACGUAGCGACUUUUAUUUAAAUAUCAAUCCAACAUCAUUCUGUGAUCCACUUGGAGAUAGAAAUAUACAUUGGCCAUUAGCACCAUUAAAUUCUGAUUCUAAUUCUGUAAUAAUGGUUACCUCCAGAAUAGAUGCAUCUUCUAUGUUUGAUGGAAUAUCUCCUGGAGCUUUAAGUACAAUAACAGGAAUGGUUUCAUUACUAGCUACUGCUGCUUACUUGCAUUCUUUAAAACCAGUUAUCAAAAAUACAAAUGUUGUUUUUACUCUUCUUAAUGGAGAAGCUUUUGACUAUAUAGGUUCCAGUCGUUUGGUUUAUGAUUUAAAAGAAGGUCAUUUUAAUGCUCUCGGUGGAAUCAAUUUAAAACUCAAUGAAAUUUUAACUGUAAUCGAACUUAGUCAAUUAUCCAAAGGAGAUGCAUUUUUGCAUGUUAGCAAUAAUAAAACUAAUCCAAUGAUAAAUCAAUUAAGUGAAAAGUUACCAGCUAAAGUAUUGAGUAAUAGUGUUCCACCUACAUCUGUGCAAAGCUUUCUAGAAAUAGAACCAAGUCUUACCACCAUCGUUCUAACUAAUUAUCCAGAUCAAUUUAUCAAUAAUUAUUAUAACAGCAUUUUAGACAAUGCUAAGAGUCUUCAUUUCAACAGUAAUAUUUCAAGUGAUCUUGUACCAAGUUUAACAAAUAUAAGCAUCACUUUGGCAGAGACUUUGUAUCACAGUGUUACAAACGAAACAGCUCCAAGUGGAGAUGUAAAUCGUAUCGAACAUAUUAUCUCGGAAAUGUUGUCUUGUUAUUUAGAAAGUGCAAAAUGUAAUCUAUUUCAUGCAGCAUCGUCACCAGGAACCAAAUUGGCCGAUCAAAUUUUACCUUUGUACGUUAGUGUACAUAGAGUACCUAACACCGUUACAAUUUUAACUGGUCAACUUUUUGCUCUGUUAACUGGCGACAAAUUAGAUAUGAAUGAAACAGAGUGUUACGAGCAUCAUUACGCAUGGAUGGGUGGUUAUGAUUUAACAGGAAUUUGUAUAAAUUCAACAGUAAAUUAUAGUAUAGCUUUAAGUCCAGCAUUCAUCAUCCAUAAUUACGAUAUGAAAUCUGGGAUAUUUUCAACAUGGACAGAAUCUAUCUGGCAAAUGUUAAGUGUCAGAAUGUUUUUAAAACCUUCAGCAGCAACUGAACGACUUAGCAUGAUUCUUGGCAGUAUUGUGACUAGCACAUCAUUUAUCUUAGUAUGGUUUAUUAAUUCCAAGGCUGAUAUAUUAUUUAAUUCCAGGUGAUAAAACAAUGAGAGCUGUUGAUUGCUAGGGAUACGCUGCGGACCACAUAUCAAUGACCAGUAUACAAGUAUGAAGUAGGAGGCUGGGCACCGCCCACCGAGUUUAUCACAGUCGUCUGGUGCCGCAGCACAUACGUAUACGUGGUUCAGCCUUACAACCUACCCUCUUAAUAUCUAAACAUUAUAAUCUGAAUUGUAAUUAAUUAAUUUUUUUUUUUUUUAAAACAGUAUAGUUCCGUACAAGGUAGUUGUAUAUGUUACAUAAUUAAAGCAAUCAUUUUUUUACCUUUUUUUUUUUUUUAGUCUCUUUUUUUUCAUGCUAUCUCAUCAACUCUCAGUAGCAUACGUGUAUUAUAUUAUUGCUGUCAUUUAGAAAUACAUACAGCGGUUUAACUAGAUACCUCUAUGUAUCUGUUUUUUUUUUUUUUUUUUUUUUUCCCCCAAAGAAAAUACAAAAUGCAAAGAAUUUGGUUUACAUUUGACAAAAGUUUAGUAGAAAUAAUAGUACAAAUAUGUUUAUAAUCGAAACAAAUUGAACUCUUUCGUACGAAGUGUCGGCUGUCGGAUGUAUCCGGCGCUCGUACGUACAAAAUUAUCACGCUAGAUGUCGGAUAUAUACGACACUCGAAAUGAAAAGGUUAAAACGUACAUCAAUUUAUCAAUUAAUAGUUUACUACAUGCUCUACCUCCUCAUCAUUCUCAGCAGCAUGCUUGGUAUUAAUUAUUACUGUCAUUUAAAAACAUGGCCUAACUAGAUAUCUCUAUGUAUUUUUUUUUCCCCAAAAAAAAUACAAUAUGCAAAAUAUUUUGUUUACAUUUGACAAAAGCUUAGUAGAAAUAACAGUACAAAUAUGUUUAAUCGAAACAAAUUGAACCCUUUUAUCUCAAGUGUCGGUUGCCGGAUGUAUCCGGCGUUCGUACGUACAAAGUUAUCACGUUAGAUGCCGGAUAUAUACGGCACUCGAAGUGAAAAGUAGUUAAAACGUACAUCAAUUUAUCAAUUAAUAAUUUCAUUCGUAUUUCUAGUUAAACCACCGUUGUUCUUCUAUAGUUUUCACACAUCAUCGUCACAAACAACUUUCCACGAUUUUACAUAGUUUUAUUUUUAUUUUUUUUAAUUAUUAUUAUGUUAAUAUUUAAUUAUUCUUUCGACUACCACAUAUAUGGAGCUAUACUGUCAGCUGUCUUCAACUGAUAAUAGCGUUUUACUGGACAUUUUUUUGUUUGUUUUUUUUUUUUUUUUAUUAAAUUGUACAAUAUUGUUAGCACACAUCUGUUAUUAUUAUUUUUGUUGUUGUUGUUGUUGGUUGUAUCUCCUCUUUCAUCAUCAGUGUUUUUAUAAUAAUACAUUGCACAAAAAUUUGUCAAUCGAAGUUAUUAAUUAGUGUGAAAAAUCUGUUUCUUUUUUUCUUUCUUUUUUUUUUUUCCUAAUAGAUUUUAAUCUCUUCAAAGUACACACUUUUAUUACUUUUUUUUUUUUCUUUUUAAAAUACACUGAAGGGUAUAAUUUAUAAAUUACUAAUGGAAGCACUCUGUAAAUCUACUAUGUACAUUAAAGCAUAAGGAAGUACUCAAGACUUUAGGUUUUCUUUCUUUCUUUCUUUCUUUCUUUCUUUCUUUCUUCAGGCUUUUUUUAUAAUGUAACUUUAAUUAACUGUGUACAAGUGGAUGAUAAUAAGUAAAGUCCGAUAUUUAGAACCCCUUUUUGUUUUGUUUUGUAGUAGUUUAUUUUUUUCUUCCCUCCGGACGAAAAGCGUCAACUAUUCUUCCGCUGUUCAAAACGUUCAAAAAAGUUGCCACUUUUCACCUACGUCGAGCAGAAAAAAUGUCUACUCAUCAUGGACAGAAAAUAAGAAGACAGCCUCAGAGCACAUGUUUGUUGUGACUCUGUUCUCAGAUACAGUCAUCUUCUGUUUCUCAAUUACAUAUACUCUGAGACAUUUCUUACUUUAUCCUCUCCCUAGAUGAGUAAUAUACUAUUUUUUUUUUUUUUUCUUAGACAACUGACUAGUGUUGUGUGAUUACGUGUAAGCUUUGUGUGUGUGUGGGUAUGUAGCUGUUAAUAUCGUGCAGUUAUUUAUUUUAAACAAAAUGAAACAAAUAACAAAAUGUGAUAAUCAUAGAGGAAUGGAAGAA